CUCCGCAGUGCCCUCCCUUUUCGGCCGCGGCGCGUGACUGGGCUUGGUGGAGUUUCAAGAUGCUGAUGAACUUAAGGUCUGGCGCUUGAAAGAAUCAGUGAAGCUUUUCAAGUAGAGGAGUACUCUACUUUGAAGAAAGGAAUGGAACAGAAGGUGUCUGCAUAACUAAAUGGGGAUCUAGAGAAAGUGGAGACUGCCUCUGGAGCAGGGAGGAUUAUGCCACCAUGACUAGAAGGCCCCCUAAUGGAGUUUAUCUGCACUGCAAGGGGCCAGUUGUCUCAGAAUCAUCCUCCGUUGACAUCUCCAUCUCCAGGACAGCUCCACACUAAUCUGUUUCAAAGACAAAAUCCAGUCUAAUCAGUUUGAUGUAUGUUUCUGGGAAUAGAGCCGAAUGUUGUAGCUGAUGGAAUGGAGUCUCAUACCAUUGAUUUUGCAGCUGGACAAGUGCCCUGCCAUGUUACUGCCACUCUUUAAGGCAGAAUAGAGCACAUUGUAUCAUUUAUAGGCCUCUCACAGUGAGAAAUAUGUGGAACUUUGGAAAUCAGAAUCUAAAACUGCAGUCCAAUGGGGUAGCCACUAUUCACAUGUGCUAUUGAGUACCUAAAAUGUGGCUAGACCAAGUUGACAUGUGCUGAAGGGUGAAAAACACCAGGAGUGAAGAAUUAACUUGAAAAAAAUGUAAACUAUCUCAAUUUUAUAUUGAUUACAAAUUAAAUGAUGUUUUGAAUAUAUUGAGUUAAAUGAAAUACAUUUUUUAAUGAUA